UGGAUUAGGCAUGCAAGUCGAACGAGAAAGGGUUCGCAAGAACCCGAGUAAAGUGGCGAAUGGGUGAGUACUACCUAGGUAACCUGCCCCGAAGAUGGGGAAAACAGCUCUAACGGGCUGCUAAUACCCAAUGAGUCCGCGAUCUCGCAUGGGAACGCGGGGAAACGGUAGCCUCUGUUUACAAGCUUCCGCUUCGGGAGGGGCCUCGGGCCUAUCAGUUAGUUGGUGGGGUAACGGCCCACCAAGACUGGGACGGGUAGCCGGUCUGAGAGGAUGGUCGGCCACACUGGGACUGAGAUACUGCCCAGACUCCUACGGGAGGCUGCAGUCGAGGAUCUUCUGCAAUGGGCGCAAGCCUGACAGAGCGACGCCGCGUGGGGGAGGAAGGCCUUCGGGUUGUAAACCCC
rnacentral:rRNA from 1 species